rnacentral:rRNA from 1 species
GGCGAACGCUGGCGGCGUGCCUAAUACAUGCAAGUAGAACGCUGAAGGAGGAGCUUGCUUCUCUGGAUGAGUUGCGAACGGGUGAGUAACGCGUAGGUAACCUGCCUGGUAGCGGGGGAUAACUAUUGGAAACGAUAGCUAAUACCGCAUAACAGUAGAUAUCGCAUGAUAUCUACUUGAAAGGUGCAAUUGCAUCACUACCAGAUGGACCUGCGUUGUAUUAGCUAGUUGGUGAGGUAACGGCUCACCAAGGCGACGAUACAUAGCCGACCUGAGAGGGUGAUCGGCCACACUGGGACUGAGACACGGCCCAGACUCCUACGGGAGGCAGCAGUAGGGAAUCUUCGGCAAUGGACGGAAGUCUGACCGAGCAACGCCGCGUGAGUGAAGAAGGUUUUCGGAUCGUAAAGCUCGGUUGUAAGAGAAGAACGAGUGUGAGAGUGGAAAGUUCACACUGUGACGGUAUCUUACCAGAAAGGGACGGCUAACUACGUG